rnacentral:lncRNA from 1 species
CCUGCCCUCCCCUUCCUUGCCUCUCUCCUCCCCCAACCUCCUUCUUCUCUCUUCUUCCUCCUCCUCCUCCUCCUCCUUUUUUCCUCCUCCUCCUCCUUUCUUCCUCCUCCUCCUCACCUCCCCCCCCUUUGCCUUCUUCUCUUCCUUUCUUUUUUUCCUUCUUCUUUUAAUCGGGGGCUCCUUCUGGACCUGCCGAGACAGAAGGGGGUCUCGUCCGGGGAUGGGGCGGGGUGGGGGGAAGGUCGUGGUGGUGAAGGCGGCGGCGGCGAUGACUCUGGGGCCCCUCUCCCUUCCUCCCUCUCCCUCCCCAUCUCUCCUCUCUGGGGAAUGUAGGUUGUUCGGGAUUCACCGUUACCAGAAAUGAUGUCAUCUCUCCGGAGGAGAAAGGGAAUUCUAAGGUGAGAUUAGUACUAGGAAGGGAGGGGUCUCCCUGGUUGGCCAGAUCUUUGGUUCUUCCCAGGACCUCCUCUGCCAAAACAUCAGGAUUCACAGAGUCCACGAGGGAAGGAAUCAGGUGCCCUUCUAUGUUCCUUGGAAAAAGUCAGGUGGGGUGGUCUGGGAUGACCUAAACUUGGAUGGGAAGAGAUGACUUCAGACCCAAUCAACAGGUAUCGGGGCAUCGUGCCUGACAUAUGGUUUUGAUGAUGACUUUUUAUAUGAUUCCUAGAAUUGUUGGUGCUGCCUCAAAAGAUCUGCUCUCCCUCUCUCCGACAUCCUGACCC